CGCCCGGGGACUACGAGUCUAACUUAAAACCCAAAGGAUUUGACGGUGUCCUACCCACCUAGAGGAGCCUGUCCCAUAAACGAUAAUCCCCGAUUCACCCAACCCCUUCUUACUCAGCCUAUAUACCUCCGUCGUAAGCCCACCAUGUAAAUGAGAGUAGGCCAAACGGGUUUACUUCCCCCCCACGUCAGGUCAAGGUGUAGCCUAUGAAGAGGUGCUAGAUGGGCUACAAUCUCUACCAUAGAACAAACGAAAAGUCAAAUGAAGAUUAACUAUGAAGGUGGAUUUAGCAGUAAAAGGAGAAUAAAACUCCCCUUUUAACUAGGCACUAGGACGUGC
rnacentral:rRNA from 1 species